rnacentral:RNase_P_RNA from 1 species
GGAGUCGGCGAGACGGUCGCGGGGCCGCGAGGCCCCGAGGAAAGUCCGAGCUCCACAGGGCAGGGUGCUGGGUAAUUCCCAGGGGGAGCGAUCCCAAGGAAAGUGCAACAGAGAGCAGACCGCCGUUCGGGCACGCGCGUGCGCGUCUCCGGACGGCAAGGGUGAAACGGUGAGGCAAGAGCUCACCAGCGCGGGCGGCGACGCCCGCGGCUCGGCAAACCCCACCCGGAGCAAGACCAAAUAUGGGAGGAUGAGGUGGCCCGCCUCGCUCGACUCCCGGGUAGGUCGCACGAGGCGCUCGGCGGCGGGCGUCCCAGAGAAAUGACCGUCGCGGGAUCUCGGUCCCGAACAGAACUCGGCUUAUCGCCGGCUCCGCUG